UACGUAGGUGGCAAGCGUUGUCCGGAUUUACUGGGUUUAAAGGGUGCGUAGGCGGUUUUAUAAGUCAGUCGUUAAAGGCAGCAGCUUAACUGUUGUAAGGCGAUUGAUACUGUUGAACUUGAAUUAUUUCGAGGUUGUCGGAAUACGUAGUGUAGCGGUGAAAUGCUCAGAUAUUACGUAGAACGCCGAUUGCGAAGGCAGAUAACUAGGAAUAGAUUGACGCUGAGGCACGAAAGUGUGGGGAGCGAACAGG
rnacentral:rRNA from 1 species